AUUGAACGCUGGCGGAAUGCUUUACACAUGCAAGUCGAACGGCAGCACGGACUUCGGUCUGGUGGCGAUUGGCGAACGGGUGAGUAACAUAUCGGAACGUAUCCAAUAAUGGGGGAUAACUAAUCGAAAGGUUGGCUAAUACCGCAUACGCCCUACGGGGGAAAGCAGGGGAUCUUCGGACCUUGCGUUAAUGGAGCGGCUGAUAUCUGAUUUGCUAGUUGGUGAGGUAAAGGCUCACCAAGGCGACGAUCAGUAGCUGGUCUGAGAUGACGACCAGCCACACUGGAACUGAGACACGGUCCAGACUCCUACGGGAGGCAGCAGUGGGGAAUUUUGGAUAAUGGGCGCAAGCCUGAUCCAGCCAUUCCGCGUGAGUGAAGAAGGCCUUCGGGUUGUAAAGCUCUUUCGCAAGGGAAGAAAACUUACUUUCUAAUAAAGAGUGAGGUUGACGGUACCUUGAUAAGAAGCACCGGCUAACUACGUGCCAGCCGCCGCAGUAA
rnacentral:rRNA from 1 species